AUAAAGACCAUGAACGGGACGAGUAUGUAAAGUCCGGUGUGUAAGCGAGUCGGGGAUGGUGCAAGCCCGAUACACCCCUUUGCCGAAAAUCACCCGGGAGUUGCAGGUGAAUUAAGUAGCCGGCGCCGGCUUUGGCCGUUAUCAACUGAAGUGACCGCAGCGUUUUAUGUUGCGGUUAGCGGGGUGGUACCGCGGGAAAAACUCCCGUCCUCAUG
rnacentral:ncRNA from 1 species